UGAGCAGCAGAGAAUGGCUUCCGGCUUCCGCACACCGAGACCCGCCGGUGCAGGGGUGAAUGGCUUCCGGCUUCCGCACACCGAGACCCGCCGGUGCAGGGGUGAAUGGCUUCCGGCUUCCGCACACCGAGACCCACCUGAGCAGCAGAGAAUGGCUUCCGGCUUCCGCACACCGAGACCCGCCUGAGCAGCAGAGAAUGGCUUCCGGCUUCCGCACACCGAGACCCGCCGGUGCGGGCUUCCUGGGACUUCCAUUCUUGAUUUGUUGGGGUGACAGUGCCAAGCCUGACCUCCCCUCUAAGGUCAGAAAAACAAUGAGCAACGUGCGUCAAUGAGGGCAGCAGCUUCCAAACAGACACCUGGGGAAACCUGGAAAUCUUCAGUGAUGUUUUGGUGGAGUGAGAACCUCUACAAAGCCCUCCAGUGGCUGCUCCAGUUGGUCCACUGCAGUGCUUGAUUUUGUGAAGAACCCUGUGGAAUGUGGUCUCUGGCAGCUGAGAAGUGCCUUCCUUUUCCAUCAGCGCAAGGCAAACACAUGAAGGGAGCUGGGGUUUCUUGCCACCAUUUCACCUGAGACCCCUGAAAGCUGCAGCCCACACUGCAAAUACUUUUCUUGGCCCUGGAAGUAGAGGGAAGU
rnacentral:lncRNA from 1 species